rnacentral:rRNA from 1 species
AGAUAUGAUCCAGAGUACCACGGGACACGUGAAACCCUGUGGGAAGCAGGAGGGACCACCCUCCAAGGCUAAAUACUACCUAGUGACCGAUAGCGUAUAGUACCGUGAGGGAAAGGUGAAAAGAACCCCGGGAGGGGAGUGAAAUAGAACCUGAAACCCUGCACUUACAAGCUGUGGAAGCACAUUUCUUGUGUGACCGCGUACUUUUUGUAGAACGGGCCAACGAGUUACGUUAAGUAGCAAGGUUAAGCACUUAAGGUGCGGAGCC